UUUGAGUAAGUGAAAUGAAGCGUGAAUAACUGCCUAAUUAGUGGACAUGAAAACUGGACAGUCUCCAAAGUCAUCAGAGAUGACCACGCUUGCCAGGCAACUUACUAGACUAAGGGUGAGUCCAUUUGUAAUCAUCCCAGCUGGGAGGUGGCUGGGAGGUUUGACCUAGGGCUCAGAAGACUGGCUAACCUGGAUAAAGCCAUUCAAGACAAUCAGGUGUGACAUUAUCUCCAUGGCUGAGGUCUUCUGGAGCAGUAGUUCUAGAACUUCUUGGGGCCACUCCAAUAUAACAACACUCAGGAAUCACCUCCCACUACUGCUGGGGCAGGCGGUGGGAACAGAUGUAGAGAGGGUAAACUUUAUUACAAGGAAUGAGGAAAAUGGAACUGAUUUUGAUAAGGGCCAUUGUCAAUCAUUAGUUCACAUGACAGCCAUGAAGGCACACAAUGAGCCUCACGUAAGCAUCAGGUACUACAUUUAGGAAGAGAGAUGGUGGUGACGUGCCCAUCAUGCAGGAAGCUUCUCCAAGGCUGGCGAGAGCAACUUGUCUGCUUUGAGAAAUGCAGAUCUAUCAGGAUCCAGAAUCGGACUCUGAAAAAGCUGUCAUUUCAUGUCUCUAAAACAGCCUUUGAUUUAAUGUACAAGAUGUCAAGAAGUAAAGGACAAUAAAAUAAAAACCAAAAAAGGAGAACUAUUUCAAUUAAGAAGCAUUCCUAUAUCAAUUCUUGGAAAUCACAUAAAAUAAAAGCUGUCAGAAUCA
rnacentral:lncRNA from 1 species